rnacentral:rRNA from 1 species
CUGUAAGCCGUUGAAGGUGUGCUGUGAGGCAUGCUGGAGGUAUCAGAAGUGCGAAUGCUGACAUAAGUAACGAUAAAGCGGGUGAAAAGCCCGCUCGCCGGAAGACCAAGGGUUCCUGUCCAACGUUAAUCGGGGCAGGGUGAGUCGACCCCUAAGGCGAGGCCGAAAGGCGUAGUCGAUGGGAAACAGGUUAAUAUUCCUGUACUUGGUGUUACUGCGAAGGGGGGACGGAGAAGGCUAUGUCAGCCGGGCGACGGUUGUCCCGGUUUAAGCAUGUAGGCGGAGGUUCCAGGUAAAUCCGGUACCUUGUUAACGCUGAGGUGUGAUGACGAGGCACUACGGUGCUGAAGUGAUAAAUGCCCUGCUUCCAGGAAAAGCCUCUAAGCAUCAGGUAACACGAAAUCGUACCCCAAACCGACACAGGUGGUCAGGUAGAGAAUACCAAGGCGCUUGAGAGAACUCGGGUGAAGGAACUAGGCAAAAUGGUGCCGUAACU